rnacentral:rRNA from 1 species
CACGCCCUUAAACUAUGUCAACUGGGUUGUCGGGGUAAGAAAUUCCUUGGUAACGAAGCUAACGCGUGAAGUUGACCGCCUGGGGAGUACGGCCGCAAGGUUAAAACUCAAAGGAAUUGACGGGGACCCGCACAAGCGGUGGAUUAUGUGGAUUAAUUCGAUGCAACGCGAAAAACCUUACCUACCCUUGACAUGUACGGAACCCUCCAGAGAUGGAGGGGUGCCCGAAAGGGAGCCGUAACACAGGUGCUGCAUGGCUGUCGUCAGCUCGUGUCGUGAGAUGUUGGGUUAAUUCCCGCAACAUCCUCGGACCUUUCCACUAGAUGUGAAAUUAAUUUGGCCAUCUUAUUUGCGA